rfam:Punica granatum cultivar Dabenzi scaffold123, whole genome shotgun sequence.
AAAUUGCAGUGAGGAUAUGAAACACAGCUAAAACGCCAGUUCUGCUUCUGAAAAUUCUUGAUCGAGAACAGCUGUUU